CACUUAUUCCAAAUAUGGCUGGGCACUGCCCACUUCCUUGUCCCCAUAAGGAAGGAUUUUACCAGCAUGUUACAGGCUGCAAUCCACACGGUGGAUGAAGAGAUGGAUUAUUUACAGAAGAUAUACCAGCUUAUGACCUUGGAAUUUUUGCAAAGGAGCAAAAGUGAAACACAAGACAACCAGCACUGCAGCUGAUUCCAUAGCAGUGGUUGAUUUCCAUCCUUCACUAUACCGAAGACUCAGAGAGAUGAUGCUACAGGUCCAAACAACUCUCCUCAACAGACAACCAGCACUGCAGCUGAUUCCAUAGCAGUGGUUGAUUUCCAUCCUUCACUAUGCCAAAGACUCAGAAAGAUGAUGCUACAGGUCCAAACAACUCUCCUCAACAGACAACCAGCACUGCAGCUGAUUCCAUAGCAGUGGUUGAUUUCCAUCCUUCACUAUGCCAAAGACUCAGAAAGAUGAUGCUACAGGUCCAAACAACUCUCCUCAACAGGUUAGGCCACCCAGAUGAAGAAAACAUCCUGGCAGCAAACAGAUGUGCAGAUGAUGGAAAGGCGCAUGAAUCGAUUCAUCACAUCUUGUACCAGCGUCAACUGACUGUGAGAAGUAUUUAUGGGCUGAACUGGGAGCAGCAGAAACUGAAAUUCUUCAUUUAUAACCACAUUAUGGCCUACAGGCAUGUAAAAGUUGCCUUCCAUUUUUAUUUUUUUAAUAUGUAUUAUCCUAUUUCUGCUGUGUUGUGCAGUUGACUACAUGCACAGCAAACAGCACUAUGCUUUGUAUCAGUAGCACCAUUUUCUGGCCUCAUACUAUGUCUUUACAUAAACUAUGAGGAAGUAAGCUGAGCUAAAUUUCAAAAUUUGAUAUUGAUUUACUACACCUGUAUUUUUUCUACAAAUUUGCAGAUUAAACUUUUCUUUCAACAAA